GAAACGAUGAAUCAGCGGCUUCUGACCAAGGAGUCAGGCUGCGGCCCUUCAUCUAGACGAACGGAACCCCGGGAGGAUUGCAAGGGACCACACCUUGACCACGAUGUCUUCUGUGACAGGCAGGAACCACGCGACCCAAACCGGGGGACUGGCAGUGCUCCAGCCUCUCGGGGCAGCGGGGGACAAGGCGCGGCCAGCCGGGCGUGUCGGAUCCCGAGUCAGGAGCCAGGGACCACGCGCGGUGUCUGUCCCGAGGGUGGUAGACAAGACGGUCCUGGGCCAUGGAAAUCAGUUUCCACUCCGAAAGACAGUGGUUUGCUGAAGAGGAAGAGCGACGGUUCCCUUUGGGAUCCUGCCAACUCUCCGGGCACAUCCGCCGGCCCUCCUGCGGCCGCGGGCUCGGCCAGGGCUUGGGCAGGGAGGGGCAGGGGUUUAUAAACCAGACAGCCUGACUCCAGACUUGUGGCACAUCACUGCUGAGGAGUCACUGCUCCAGUGUAGGAGCCAGACUUGUAAACAGAUAAAUACAAUUCAAAGAGGGACAACAGCAGACUGAAGAUGGUGAUAAAUUGAUGGAAAAUGAGCCUUAGCAAAUAUAUGGACAAUAAAGUUGAAAAGAGUUACUCUGUGCUCACCUUCAAAAGAAGCCCUGAGGAAAUACCUGCUUGUUCGGCAGACUGUCUGAAUGUAUGUUAUAUUGACCUUGUAUUCAGGGGAACUAAAUAUACUUGCAAAUCUCUCAGAAUAUUUAUUUUGUCACUUGAUUUCACAUCCUGCUAAGCACAGACCAACACCAGCGCUUCCCUUUUCCCCACAUCAUUAGAGAGUGCAUCGGAUUAUGAGAAGAAAAUAACAUUAGCUAGUACCUGCAAAUAAUGCCUGUUUUCCCUUUGUGCCAGUAAUCUAGCCCUUUCAAAGAAGCAAGGAUGAAAAUAAGAUUAGGUUUCCUAUGUUGCAGAAUGUUUCUGUUUUUUCCCCUUGAUAAUCAAAAAGACUUGUUGUACAAAGUCUGGAUAGAAAGCAAAUUGGUCCUAAGAACCAAUUAAAAAAUAACAUAAAGGAAAUGAAGUAGA